GGAAAGUUCCGGCGGUACAGGAUGAACCCGCGGCCUAUCAGCUUGUUGGUGGGGUAAUGGCCUACCAAGGCGACGACGGGUAGCCGGCCUGAGAGGGUGACCGGCCACACUGGGACUGAGACACGGCCCAGACUCCUACGGGAGGCAGCAGUGGGGAAUAUUGCACAAUGGGCGCAAGCCUGAUGCAGCGACGCCGCGUGAGGGAUGACGGCCUUCGGGUUGUAAACCUCUUUCGCCAGGGACGAAGCGCAAGUGACGGUACCUGGAUAAGAAGCACCGGCUAACUACGUGCCAGCAGCCGCGGUAAUACGUAGGGUGCGAGCGUUGUCCGGAAUUAUUGGGCGUAAAGAGCUCGUAGGCGGUUUGUCGCGUCGGCCGUGAAAUCUCCACGCUUAACGUGGAGCGUGCGGUCGAUACGGGCACACUUGAGUUCGGCAGGGGAGACUGGAAUUCCUGGUGUAACAGUGAAAUGCGCAUAUAUCAGGAGGAACACCGGUGGCGAAGGCGGGUCUCUGGGCCGAUACUGACGCUGAGGAGCGAAAGCGUGGGGAGCGAACAGGAUUAAAUACCCUGGUAGUCCACGCUGUAAACGUUGGGCGCUAGGUGUGGGCGA
rnacentral:rRNA from 1 species